GCAGCUCGAAUGGAUGGAAAAUAAGGUCUUUCUUCUCUUCUGUCCUUUCGGCAGGAUUUAGACUGUUGGUAUUUUCGUCAUUUUAUUUUUUUUUAAUGUAACUGAAUUGGAAAAUUCAAGAAGAGGAAACUAACUUUGGACUCCGCUACCCAGCGUUGAGACAACAGAACCAUCACAGAUGAAUAAGCCUUUUCAGAGUUGCAGGGGCGGGAGUCCAGAUGCCCGCGUGCUUCUCUGUCUCCAGCCACCUCCUCUAAUUAAACCAGGAGAUAAGGAAGCCUUCUAAAACUGUGCAACAUAAGCAAUCCCUCCAGCUUGUCCUCGAUCUACCCCGGGGGCUCCUCCUAUUCCUGGACAUGCCCAAAACACCUGUCACUAUAGCGUAGUGAACUUCUACCCCCACUGUAAACUC